UACGUAGGUGGCAAGCGUUGUCCGGAUUUAUUGGGUUUAAAGGGUGCGUAGGCGGUUCCUUAAGUCAGUGGUGAAAUACUUCAGCUCAACUGGAGAGGUGCCAUUGAUACUGGGGAACUUGAGUACUGAUGAGGUAGGCGGAAUGGACGGUGUAGCGGUGAAAUGCUUAGAUAUCGUCCAGAACACCGAUAGCGAAGGCAGCUUACUAAGGAGUAACUGACGCUGAGGCACGAAAGUGUGGGGAGCGAACAGG
rnacentral:rRNA from 1 species